UUAGCAAAUACUGACAGCGACGACCUGACGCCUGUCAGAUACGCCAAGCAUCUGGGCCCAUCCACCGAUCCACGCCCCCUUCCAUUGAAAAUAUCCGUUGUCUACUCUGUGACUCUCGUUCAUCUGGCCAUUGGAGAGAUCUUGAGCAUGCGGCGGCGGAAAUCCACCCUCUACCGUCCGCGGCAGCGAAGAUAGGGCCUCCUACAUGGAUGCUCCAGGCCCGUCGUCUGCCCCUGCUGGUCCGACCGGUAGUCUCCGGUUCCGGCGGCGAGCGCCCUCGAGAUCCGGACGGUAGCCUCCGGAUCCGGCGUCCCGGGGUCAAAUAUAUCCUACCGGCGGCGCCGGCCACCUCCAGAUCCGGCAUCCCCGACUCAAAACACCCCCGGUCUCACUUCAUCGCUACCUAACCCUGGUCCGUUAUGUACGCCCCACCUUCGAUGUUCAGCUCUCAUGCAGAUGAUCAGUUCUUGGAGGCGACUGCUUCCUGCUCCUUUUGAUUUAAGGGGGCCCUUGAUGCAAAAAACGUUGGCAAGGUGCAGACUUCGUAUUGGCAUAUGAGGAUGUUGCGUCUAAAUGUGGUGCAGUUGCUAAAGACGAUGCAUGGAAGUUGCAUGGCACCACAACAGAUCUGGGCUAGCAACUUGUCAUGUUCAGCGCGUGGCGACAAGAGCAAGCAGCCAGGAGUGUCCAGGACAGCCCCAGAUAUCUUGGCGACAGAUGGUGGCGAAUAUAUUAGAAAUGAUAGUAUGGUGAUUGCACUAUUGUUUUUCUUGCAUUAUCUUCCCUUGUGCAACUAGAUUUGAGCACCAACACGAGAUGUGCUUUAUGUAUGAUUUCAUAAUGUUGUUUCAACCUUUGUCAUUUACAAAUUCUUUCGGGGAACUUGCUUGACUUAUCUGAAACGGUUGUUAACAUGGUUCAGUUUCAGUGUCAACCACUUGCAUUUUGUGACAUCCAGCUGAA